AGCGAACGCUGGCGGCAGGCCUAACACAUGCAAGUCGAGCGCUCGUAGCAAUACGAGAGCGGCAGACGGGAGAGUAACACGUGGGAACGUACCCUUCAGUUCGGAACAACCCAGGGAAACGUUGGGCUAAUACCGGAUACGUCCGUAAGGAGAAAGAUUUAUCGCUGAAGGAUCGGCCCGCGUCUGAUUAGCUAGUUGGUGAGGUAACGGCUCACCAAGGCUACGAUCAGUAGCNGGUCUGAGAGGAUGAUCAGCCU
rnacentral:rRNA from 1 species